GAUGAAGAACGUAGUGAAAUGCGAUAAGUAAUGUGAAUUGCAGAAUUCAGUGAAUCAUCGAAUCUUUGAACGCACAUUGCGCCCGCCAGUAUUCUGGCGGGCAUGCCUGUCCGAGCGUCAUUUCAACCCUCGAACCCCUCCGGGGGGUCGGCGUUGGGGACCUCGGGAGCCCCUAAGACGGGAUCCCGGCCCCGAAAUACAGUGGCGGUCUCGCCGCAGCCUCUCCUGCGCAGUAGUUUGCACAACUCGCACCGGGAGCGCGGCGCGUCCACGUCCGUAAAACACCCAACUUCUGAAAUGUUGACCUCGGAUCAGGUAGGAAUACCCGCUGAACUUAAGCAUAUCAAUAAGCGGAGGA
rnacentral:misc_RNA from 1 species